ACAGCAGCAGCCGCGGUAAUACGAAGGGUGCAAGCGUUAAUCGGAAUUACUGGGCGUAAAGCGUGCGUAGGCGGUUUGUUAAGUCUGCUGUGAAAUCCCCGGGCUCAACCUGGGAAUGGCAGUGGAUACUGGCAAGCUAGAGUGUGUCAGAGGAUGGUGGAAUUCCCGGUGUAGCGGUGAAAUGCGUAGAGAUCGGAAGGAACAUCUGUGGCGAAGGCGACUAUCUGGGCCAACACUGACACUGAGGCACGAAAGCGUGGGGAGCAGACAGGAUUAGAUACCCCUGUAGUCCCUGUCUCUUAUAC
rnacentral:rRNA from 1 species